GAUGAACGCUGGCGGCGUGCCUAAUACAUGCAAGUCGAGCGAACAGACGAGGAGCUUGCUCCUCUGACGUUAGCGGCGGACGGGUGAGUAACACGUGGAUACCCUACCUAUAAGACUGGGAUAACUUCGGGAAACCGGAGCUAAUACCGGAUAAUAUAUUGAACCGCAUGGUUCAAUAGUGAAAGACGGUUUUGCUGUCACUUAUAGAUGGAUCCGCGCCGCAUUAGCUAGUUGGUGAGGUAACGGCUUACCAAGGCAACGAUGCGUGGCCGACCUGAGAGAGUGAUCGGCCACAUUGGAGCUGGGACACGGUCCAGACUCCUACGGGAGGCAGCAGUAGGGAAUCUUCCGCAAUGGGCGAAAGCCUGACGGAGCAACGCCGCGUGAGUGAUGACGGUCUUCGGAUCGUAAAACUCUGUUAUUAGGGAAGAACAAAUGUGUAAGUAACUAUGCACGUCUUGACGGUACCUAAUCAGAAAGCCACGGCUAACUACGUG
rnacentral:rRNA from 1 species